UCGAAUAAAAAAACUCUCCAUUGAGCACACUCCAUAUCUGGGCACAUUACGCAAUGCACUUAGAGAGUCCAUUAGAGCCAGCAGUGGAUUUUUGUGCGCGGCAACUAUUAUUCAUAAUCGUGUGCUUAUCACACCAGCUGUAUGUAUAUAUGGACAAAGACGACAAGAUCUGGUGGUUGUAGUGGGGAAUACGUUCAUUAGAGGUGUAAGUCCAACAAUGAAAGUGUUGGCUAUCGAAACUUGGAGAUGGCAUGCACGGUAUAGAUUUGGGGAAAUGGCAUACAAUAUUGCAUUGGUCUUCACUGUUCGUGAUAUAACGCCCAAACAUGGGGCUAUUGCAUAUGCUGUCAUUAACAGGAGCAAAUUAAGACCGCAUACCGAAUGUUUAUUCUGUGGAUGGAGUAGAACUUCUGUUAAAUCGAAACAAAAGGUGAACCCUCCGAUUGCAUUUUUUGUAUGGAAUACCUACAAUGUAGAUUGCUAUAAGAUCACUUCUACUGCUGGUGUGAUGUGCUCCUACGUACCACAUAUGGCCGAAUUUAAAAAUAAAACUGAAGAUCUAGGUAACCCGAUAAUAUGCAACCAUAAACUUGCUGGUGUAUUCCUCGAAAGGCAUGGGGAGAUCUCAACGUAUAUAGAUAUAUAUUCAUUUAGAAAAUGGAUAAACGGAGCCAUUUACAUCCAUUUCCAUACAGCCACAUCGCCUCCUCGAUCAAUUUGCUGUCGGUGGCUUCUUGUGUUGGCCAUUAGUAUUUUUUUUAUCUUCAGCUAAAAACGUGAAUGUGUAUGAUUCCCUCAUAU